rnacentral:rRNA from 1 species
CCUUACCUANNCUUGACAUGCCAGGAACNNNNNNAANANGCGAGGGUGCCUUCGGGAGCCUGGACACAGGUGCNNCNNGNCUGUCGUCAGCUCGUGUCGUGAGAUGUUGGGUUAAGUCCCGCAACGAGCGCAACCCUUGUCACUAGUUGCCNUCAUUUGGUUGGGCACUCUAGUGAGACUGCCGGUGACAAACCGGAGGAAGGUGGGGAUGACAUCAAGUCCUCAUGGCCCUUAUGGGGAGGGCUUCACACGUCAUACAAUGGUCGGUACAAAGGGUUGCCAAGCCGCGAGGUGGAGCCAAUCCCUUAAAACCGAUCGUAGUCCGGAUCGCAGUCUGCAACUCGACUACGUGAAGUCGGAAUCGCUAGUAAUCGCGAAUCAGAAUGUUGCGGUGAAUACGUUCCCGGGCCUUGCACACACCGCCCGUAUAANNNUUUUUUUUUUUUUCUCCCCCCCC